AGUGAACGCUGGCGGUAGGCCUAACACAUGCAAGUCGAACGGCAGCACAGUAAGAGCUUGCUCUUACGGGUGGCGAGUGGCGGACGGGUGAGGAAUACAUCGGAAUCUACUUUUUCGUGGGGGAUAACGUAGGGAAACUUACGCUAAUACCGCAUACGGCCUACGGGUGAAAGCAGGGGAUCUUCGGACCUUGCGCGAUUGAAUGAGCCGAUGUCGGAUUAGCUAGUUGGCGGGGUAAAGGCCCACCAAGGCGACGAUCCGUAGCUGGUCUGAGAGGAUGAUCAGCCACACUGGAACUGAGACACGGUCCAGACUCCUACGGGAGGCAGCAGUGGGGAAUAUUGGACAAUGGGGGCAAGCCUGAUCCAGCCAUACCGCGUGGGUGAAGAAGGCCUUCGGGUUGUAAAGCCCUUUUGUUGGGAAAGAAAAGCAGCAGGUUAAUACCCCGCUGUUCUGACGGUACCCAAAGAAUAAGCACCGGCUAACUUCGUG
rnacentral:rRNA from 1 species